rnacentral:misc_RNA from 1 species
UAUCUGCGAAAAGCAGUAUGACUUGCAGAACUCAAUGAAUCAUCAGAUUUUUGAACGCAAAUUGCACUUACUCCUUUCGGGGAUGUAAGUAUGUUUAGUUCAGCGUCCUUAAUUAUUGCUUUUCUUACCCUUGCGGUUGAAAGCUAGAGUGGGCUCUGUACGUGCUUCAAUGCUGGUACAUAGCUUUAAGGAAUAGUGAAAGCUAAAGUUUUGGUUAGCCUGACGAUAGUGAUCACAUCAAACUUAAUUGGGCAUGAACUUAAGCAAGAAUACCCGCUGAACUUAA